rnacentral:rRNA from 1 species
UACGAAGGGGGCUAGCGUUGUUCGGAAUUACUGGGCGUAAAGCGCGUGUAGGCGGCUCGGUAAGUCCGCUCUGAAAGCCCCGGGGCUCAACCCCGGGAGGCGGGUGGAUACUGCUGAGCUCGAGUCCGGAAGAGGAGUGUGGAAUUCCUGGUGUAGCGGUGAAAUGCGCAGAUAUCAGGAGGAACACCAAUGGCGAAGGCAGCACUCUGGGACGGUACUGACGCUGAGACG